CACGGGACUAUUUGAGUAGCAAUACAAGAAUAGUUUAGUGGCGCACGGGUGAGUAACACGUGAAUUACAUGCCCUGCAGAGGGGGAUAGCCCAGGGAAACUUGGAUUAAUACCCCAUGGUAUCGCAAGAUUAAAGGUGGCCGCAAGGCUGUCGCUGCAGGAUUGGUUCGCGCCCUAUCAGCUUGUUGGUGAGGUAACGGCUCACCAAGGCUACGACGGGUACCUGGUCUGAGAGGACGAUCAGGCACACUGGAACUGAGACACGGUCCAGACACCUACGGGUGGCAGCAGUCGAGAAUAAUUCACAAUGGGGGCAACCCUGAUGGUGCAACGCCGCGUGGAGGAUGAAGGUCUUCGGAUUGUAAACUCCUGUCAUCCGGGAGUAAGACCUGGCGAUGAAUAGUCGACAGGGUUGAUAGUACCGGAAGAGGAAGGGACGGCUAACUUCGUGCCAGCAGCCGCGGUAAUACGAAGGUCCCGAGCGUUGUUCGGAAUCACUGGGCGUAAAGGGAGCGUAGGCGGCGUGGUAAGUCAGAUGUGAAAUCCCGGGGCUCAACCCCGGAACUGCAUCCGAUACUGCCGUGCUAGAGGAUUGGAGAGGUAGCUGGAAUUCACGGUGUAGCAGUGAAAUGCGUAGAUAUCGUGAGGAACACUCGUGGCGAAAGCGAGCUACU
rnacentral:rRNA from 1 species